UUAAAAUUUAAAUUUAUUUUUUUUUUGUUUUAAAUAAAGUUUUAUUUUGGCUUAAAAUUUUAAUUUAUCAUUAUUCUAUAUGUAAAAAUUAUAUUAAAAAAUAAAAUUCUUGCAGUUUUUAAUAUUAAAAAAUUAUUAAAGUGAGUUUUAGUAAUUGAUUAAAGAUUUGAUAAAAUUUGUGCCAGCAAUUGCGGUUAUACAAAUAAUUCGAUUAAAAUUUAUUGGUUAAUAAUUAAUUUAUUUGUAAAAAUUUAUAAUUGGAAUUUUUAAGUGAAAUUUAAAUUUUAAUUUAUUUUUAUUUUUAAUAUUUGAAGUUAUUAAAAUUAGCAUUAAACUAGGAUUAGAUACCCUAUUAUUAUAAUUGUAAAUUUAAAUACUUGAUUAGUAUUAGUUAUUUUCUUAAAAAUUAAAAAAUUUGGCGGUAUUUUAGUCUAUUCAGAGGAACCUGUUCUAUAAUUGAUAGUCCACGAUUAGUUUUACUUUCUUUAUACUUGUAUAUCGUUGUUUUUGAAUAUUUUAUAAGAAUUAUAAUUUUCAAUAAGUAUAUUUUAGUUUAUUUCAGAUCAAGGUGCAGUUUAUAGGAAAGAAGAAAUGGGUUACAUUAAAUUUAUUUAUGGUUUAUUGUCUUGAAAGAUUUUAUUAAAUUGGAUUUGAUAGUAAUAAUAUAUAUAUAUAUAUUAUGAUUUUAGCUCUAAAGUGUGCACAUAUUGCCCGUCGCUCUCAUUAAUUUGAGAUAAGUCGUAACAAAGUAGAUUUACUGGAAAGUGUAUCUAGGAUUAUUC
rnacentral:ncRNA from 1 species